rnacentral:rRNA from 1 species
UUGGAGGGCAAGUCUGGUGCCAGCAGCCGCGGUAAUUCCAGCUCCAAUAGCGUAUAUUAAAGUUGUUGCAGUUAAAAAGCUCGUAGUUGAAUUUCGGGGUCUGUCUAUCGGUCGGGCUUCACUGUCCGUACUGGUUUGAUGGAUUCUUACCUUCUGAAUAACCAUCAUGCCAUUAAUUUGGUGCGUUGGGGAAGCAGAGCUAUUACCUUGAAAAAAUUAGAGUGCUUAAAGCAGGCUAGCGCUUGAAUAGAUUAGCAUGGAAUAAUGAAAUAGGACGGCAUGGUUCUAUUUUGUUGGUUUCUAGGAUCACCGUAAUGAUUAAUAGGGAUAGUUGGGGGCAUUAGUAUUCAAUUGUCAGAGGUGAAAUUCUUGGAUUUAUUGAAGACUAACUACUGCGAAAGCAUUUGCCAAGGAUGUUUUCAUUAAUCAAGAACGAAAGUUAGGGGAUCGAAGACGAUCAGAUACCGUCGUAGUCUUAACCAUAAACUAUGCCGACUAGGGAUCGGACGAAGUAAUUAUGG